rnacentral:rRNA from 1 species
AGUCGAACGCUCCCUUCGGGGAGAGUGGCAGACGGGUGAGUAACACGUGGGAAUCUACCUAUCUCUGCGGAACAACACAUAGAAAUGUGUGCUAAUACCGCAUACGCCCUUUGGGGGAAAGAUUUAUCGGAGAUAGAUGAGCCCGCGUUUGAUUAGCUAGUUGGUGAGGUAAUGGCUCACCAAGGCGACGAUCAAUAGCUGGUCUGAGAGGACGAUCAGCCACACUGGAACUGAGACACGGUCCAGACUCCUACGGGAGGCAGCAGCAGGGAAUAUUGCACAAUGGGCGAAAGCCUGAUGCAGCGACACCGCGUGCGGGAUGACGGCCUUAGGGUUGUAAACCGCUUUCAGGAGGGAAGAAAAUGACGGUACCUCCAGAAGAAGCUCCGGCCAACUACGUGCCAGCAGCCGCGGUAAUACGUAGGGAGCAAACGUUGUCCGGAUUUAUUGGGCGUAAAGGGCUCGUAGGCGGUUCAACAAGUCGGUCGUGAAAGCCCGGGGCUCAACCCCGGGAGGCCGGUCGAACCUGUUGUGACUAGAGUUCGGUAGAGGUGAGUGGAAUUCCCGGUGUAGCGGUGGAAUGCGCAGAUAUCGGGAGGAACACCAUUAGCGAAGGCGGCUCACUGGGCCGAUACUGACGCUGAGGAGCGAAAGCGUGGGGAGCAAACAGGAUUAGAUACCCUGGUAGUCCACGCCGUAAACGAUGAACACUAGGUGUAGCGGACUGAUUCACGUCUGCUGUGCCGUAGCUAACGCAUUAAGUGUUCCGCCUGGGGAGUACGGCCGCAAGGCUAAAACUCAAAGGAAUUGACGGGGCCCCGCACAAGCGGCGGAGCAUGCGGCUUAAUUCGAUGCAACCCGAANAACCUUACCUGGGUUUGACAUGAUGGAUCUAGCUGUGGAAACACAGUGUGCUUAC